AGAUGAACCACUCAGUCCAUAGACCUUGGUGCAAACUGGUUUCUGCAAGAGACACAAGAGAAGAUUAAAACCUAUAGAGGAGACUGUGACAAGGAAAUGAAUCCUGUGUAUGCUCCAUAUAGAUGCCAUUGUUUUCCUCAACCAUCUUAGUCUGUGGUUGACUGAAUGGACAGCACAAGCUGACAGCAUGUAUUCAGGUAAUAGAGACCCUCACCCUAAGUCACACUAACCCCCUCUUGGGAAAGACAGGUUACCUCUCUCAUUUUAGGAUGAUGAAUUUAGAAGAGUCUGCAAUCUCACAGAAAUGUUAGCCCACAUAGGCAGAUACCAGUGCUUAUAAUAAACUGGCCCCAGGAUGACAGUAAUGGGGCACAGAAGCCCAGCAUUUUGCCAUCUCUUCUUAGCAAGGGCCAACAGUGAGGGCUGCUGUUCAUCAGUACAGUCUUCUGCAGGACCCACUUGGGCACAUCAAGGACAUCUCUAGGUGACACAGUUUUGGAAAUAUCACCAGCCUCUCAGAUUCCCAAGUCUCCACAAUUCUGUCCAUCAGAUGAGAAUGACUGCUUCCUUUUGGGUUACUUUAAAGAUUUACUACCCCAAUGCCUGCUAGCCUGUGGCAUGUAAAGUUGCAAGUCCCAUGCCUGGGAAGGAACACUCUUGGAUGUGUCAUAAGAAUAAGUGAAGGACAGAGAACAUAUGUAGCUGGUCUUACCAGCCUGUCCACAUGCUGUGCUGUCCCUUGCAGUUCCUUCCAGGCUCUGUCAUUGCCUGGCUGCAGGAGGAGGCAGCUCAAUCCAAUUGCCUUUAGAUACACUCUUCCUGGUUUGUAAAAUGGAGCUAUCCAUGCCUCUGCUUCCAGGCUAAGAUUCCUAAGGGCUGGAUGAAUUUAUUACUAGGCAAGGUUCACUGAACAGUAACCCUUGGUUUGACAGCCUGAGAAUAAAUCUCAGGCCCAUAACUCCAAGCAUACCAUAACAAGCAAGAGUGUAUGGGGCUGUGUGACUUCUGAAUGUGUAGGCGCAUGUACAUUUGCACAUAUGCUAUGAAGCCAAACAACAACAAUCCGAAUUGCGGUUCAUCAGCACUGUCUAACUUGUGUUUUAAAUAAUCUUCUUAAUGCUUUUGAGAAUGGCAUAUGGUAUAUUUUGAUAAUAUUCACUCAUUCUUUCCCCAAUUCUUCUCAGGCCCACUCUCUUUACACUCACCUCCCUACCCACCCAAUUCUGAGUCUUCCUCCUCCUUUUUAAACUCAUUGAGUCCAGAUGUUUUUUCCAAUUAAUCUUGGGAGUGGAGCUUGUUCUGUGCUAUGGUCAACUGACUGAGGCAGGGGGGUCACAAAGAACUCCCCCCCUUCUCUCAGAACCUAGUGGUGUUACUUGCAUGCCCACCUCCCCUCUUCAAUGCUGGGACUUUUGUCUGACUUCAUUUUGUACAGGUCUUGUGUCUGCUGUCAAAAUCCCUAAGUUCAUUUGUGCAACUUCUCUGUCCAGAAAACUGUGUUUCCUGGAAGUUACGCACCACCUCCAGCUCUGACAAUAUUCCAUCCCCUUACCCAUGAAGAAUGUCAAGCAUGUAUGUCCCAUUUAGGAUGGAGCAUUUCACAGUUUCUUGUCUGCCCUUCAUGAGUUUAGGUGUCUUUGUCAACUGUCAUCUACUUCAAGGGGAAGUUUCUCUCAAGAGGAUUGACAAGUCAGGAGUCACUUUAAUACUGUGUCUACUUAGCAUAAUAAUAGUAUUAGUUUCUACCCUAGGGCCUCUUACCUAUCUAUCCACAGGUUCUUGUACUCACUAGCCAUGAACCUGAACACAAGAAAACAUCUCUCUGUAGUCUUGUAACUUGAUCAGCAGUGAAGAACUCACCAUCGGUUCCUAAGCUCAGGCCUAGAGUUGGUCUACAGCCUACUGUCUCUGACAGCCCUGGUUCUGAGGAUUGAUCUCAUUCCUGGCCCUCAAGAGAGAGUCAUGUUUGAGAUAUGUGAGCAUUUGUGUAUGCUUUGGUGAAGAUUUAUAUAACACAACGGAUAGGAGAUGAGGUGCAUUUCUGGAAGGAUUUUCCGAGAAGGAGAGUGAUGACCUUUUCCAGAACAAUUUGACAAAGGCUGAAGCAGAAAUUCCUGAAAAGAAAGGAAGAGAAGAAAAAGGUUAUGUUGCCAGCUAUACACACACAUAUAUGAAACUUCACAGUGAAGUUUGAUGAAGAACAUAGAAAAGGGCUUUCAUUUUCAGAAAAGGAUCAUACUGUCUGCCUAAGCAAGUAUCUGCCCAAUCAUAUCUAUUAAAUACUUGUCAUCACUAUAUUUCUAAUUGAGACAUGCUUUGAUGAAAAUUCUCUAGGAGACAAGUGCUUAUAUGCAUGCCUUCAUGGAAAAUGGAAAACAAUGUAGGGAUUGGCAUGUCAGAUUGUGUUGUACAUGAGACCAAAGCAAAGCUAUUCACCUCUCGCCAGCUAAGUAGCAAUAAUACCGAGGUCUGUCAUUCAUGGCACUGCCAAGGUUCCAGGUGUUGGCAUAGUCAAAUUCCAAUGUGUGGCAUGUAAUGGAGAACAGCUAUGUUCCCUUCAGUACUGAACAGCCACAUUGAACCAUCUACACGAUGUUCUAACACCAUUGUAGAGACACAUACGUCAUGGGCGAAAAGUCCUUUGUCCCAGGGCUGGUGGAGCACCACUGCUUAUUAUAGAGCAGUCAAGUUUGCUGUCUCCCCAAGCAGUAGUUUUUUCCAAAGAACUUACUCCUCAAUUGAUUUCACAGUUAUGCCUUGGCAUCUAAUCCCCUAAUCUAUGACAGCAUGCAAACUCUCAUAAAGACAUUCAAUACUGAGAUAAAAUGAAACUGGACCAUUUGUAUCCCAAGUUGAAUGUGCACUGUUUAGUGAGGUUAAAAAGGACAGAGGUCCUGGGAAUGAAGUGAUAGUCAGCAUGAAUUGUAGCCUAUAAUUGCCUGGGAAGGUGAGACGUGUUCUUUAAAGGAAACAUUAGAUAAUGCCUAUCACUCACAGGAGGUUAUCCUCAUGUGCACAAAAACAGAGCAGUGAGUGCUCAUUAUUGAUUAUUUAUGUCUUGCAAACACUGGAACAUAUGGUUACAUUUUCAACUUCAUUUUCUAAGAUUCUUCCUACUCAACAAUAUUCUUAAAAGUUGUCACAGUCAUAUCCGGGUGUGGGGAAAACAGAGUGUUACAAGUGCCUAAGGGGAAAGAGCCAUUCCUUUCUCCUGAUGGGUUUAGGAUGCAGGCAAGCAGAUGUUAUGCUGUGCUGAUCAUAGAUUUGUCAUUAAACAGACCAGCAUGUUGUAUCUUGAUAGGACCAUUGAUCAACAUUUUACAGACACAGUCUCUAUCUCUCUAUAUCUCCUUCCCUCGUUGUCAUUGAUUUCUUGGCAUCUCCCUUAGGCUUAACAUGUAAUGGCUUUCAGAAAAGAUAAUUAUUUUAUGUUAAAGCUUAAACAUAAGCCAGACAUGGUGCAUUUGAUCCCUAUUCCUAGACUUCAUUGAAGGCUAAGGCUCUAGAAAACAGACAAACUUGGAAAAGACUUUAAUUCUAUCUCUUGGAAGGCACGGGAAGACAGAUCUCUGUGAGUUCUAGGCCAGCCAAGGCACCAUAGUAAGACCUUCUCCCUCCCCCCCCACAGAGAUAGAGAUAGAGAUAUGACAUUGUUCUUUGAAUUGCUUUCUGCAAUUCCAAUUCCACUAAUAAGUGACUUUUACCGAGUACCUUCAGAAAGAAAGGAACUGAUUUCAGUUCACAGAUCCAGAGGGUUCAAUUCAUGAUGGCAGGGAAGCCAUGGUUGAGCAGCCAAGUUCACAUCACAAUGAUCCAAGAAGCAGAAGAGAAUGCUAGCCAUACUCCCUACCUACACAAUACAUUUAGCUAAAAGUAGCCAACUAUAACCAUACUGAAGCCUGUAUGCUGUACAGUCUUGAAAUUCCCUCUGCCAUGUUCAUUAGUAUGUUAUCUAGAGCCUUAGCCUUCUAUGAAGUCUGGGGACAGGGAUCAAAUGCAGACAAAUUCCUUGCCAGAAUAUGCCAUACAUUUCCUGUGCUUCAAACUGUGCAACUGCUAGCACUCUCUUCUAUACUGCCUGGUCCACCAAUAUGUAAACUGGAUACCUGGACAGUGUCUUCCCUGCAACAGUGGUCUGUAGGGGAAGCUGUAGCCACACCUACUUAGGGGCUGGUUACAGGUGUCUGACCACACCUGCACAUAGAACAGGGGUGUGGAAACAUUUGCACAUUCAUUGCCUCUUGUAUUUCUUCUAGGCAGCUUCUUUUGAGGAUUUAGUUGUCUUGUGCCUUCUGGGCUCAUGGUCUUCUCUGGUCUAAGGGGAAUAGAACAGGAUGUGAAGUUCACGCUUCUGCCUGGUACAGAUGGUGGCUGGGGGGGGGUGCACUGAGACUUUCAGAUCUUCUAAUGAGGAAAAUGUCUUCUUUGCUCAGCAACUCAUCCCAUUGUUUAGCCACACUGCCAGGAAAUCCUUCUACAGAUCUGACCCAAAUUUUCCAGCUGUGGCUGAAACCCACUUUGUCCUGGGUGGUCUCUCAGAGGGGACAGCUGUAGAAAGAACUGUUUGUGUCAAAUGACACAACAUCCCACCCAAACCAUGAGAGAAAGAAGCUUUAUAGCAAGCUGCUAGCCUCAUGGAUUUCACAGCUGGACAAGUGGCCAGACUUCUGUGUAGACAAAUCCCCAGGAGGAGCCAACUUGGUCUGGUUCUGAUUCAGUUCUCUUCUGCUAGGUGAGCUAAACAAAGGCCAUCUGAUGUCCAGAAAUAUCAUCUGCCCAUCAAUGGUAUGAAUGAUAUUCUUAUACAUGAGAACUCAUGCUUCUUUGUGUGUUUAAAUUAGAAAGCUCUAACUCACAAGUCCAGCUUAGAUAAAUAAAUAAAAUGUCCAACCCAAUCUCACAGAGUCAACUUCUAAAAGAGUUCUGUAUAUCCCAUUUAACCAAGCUACCUCAUUACUUUUAUAAUUUCCCUUUUUGCCUGGACCAGCUUUGCAGCCCAUUCUGAUAAGCUCAACAGAAUAAAAGGGAAUUGCUUGUCAAAUGGAGAGAGUUUCCAAAGUCAGAUGUGUCUCCAACCAUCUGGUAUACCCUGGAGAAAUCCCCAGGCUUCAGGGCUACUGACUGACUCACCUUCAUUUUGGAGUCUCUUCACAGCUCUGUAAUGUUCUCAUAGAUUUGGUUCCAGUCAUUUCCUCAUCCCUGUCACUCCAUCAAGUGCCAGGGCAGCAAUGGACACGUCAGAGAAGUAGAAACAGCCUAGGCUGUGGGUAUAGGUGGUUGUUACCUGUAGCUAAAGCUAAGCCGUUUGUGAUAUGUGCUUCAGUGUUUACUUCUCAAAUAAGCUUGCUUCCUAGGUUCCCCCUACAGGCAUCCAGGCACAGAGAAGAUACUCGGUAUCAGAAGUUGUCACUGACUGCUCUUUAAAUGGUGAACACAGAGUUUCUUUCUUGUUCAUUUUAUAACAGUACAAGGCUUGCUCCUAAGGCUCUGAUGCCCAGCAAAUAUCAAACCAAAAGAAGACCAUAACCUGGAGAAUCUCAAAGCCUAGGGGUGGUUUCCUAUGAGCCAUGAUUCCACUUUCAUUUGAAAUCAUGGGAUUCUGGAACCAUGGCUGUGUUUGGAUUGUCUGGAAGAACAGAUAAAAUGUACACACAAAGAGACACAGACACACACACAGACACAGACACACACAGACACACAGACACAGACACAGACACACACACAGACACACAGACACACACACACACACACACACACACACACACACACACACACACACACACAUUUCUGGAAUGGUUUCUAACCAGUAGGCUCAACAAUGGCUUUCUGAAUGUCUGAAUGCUGAAGAGGCUGAGACCAGUAGCUGCCCAGGCCUUGAAGCUCUUGGCUCAACAGUCUCAUCUGGUGCUGAAGUCCAACAAGAAUCUUAGAAUCUUCUGGGCCUUCAGUACACAGAAACCAGAGAAGCUGGAUUCUGAUGGCUGCAGUGGAGGGAGACACACCAAGCAGUGAAGAAGGAGGCAAAGAAGCAAGCUUGACUUUCCCUCAGACCGCCUCACACCUAGGCUGCCUAUUCUGGGAGAGGGUCUUCUCCCCUCAGUUGACCUUGAGGUGCUCUUGUGGCACCACCUAAAGGCAGUUGUCUUAUGGCUGGAAUCCUUUCCUUGGUCUUCUCUAAUCUUCAGAAAAUCAUUGCUAUGAUCCUUGAUUGCUUUCUGUGGCUAUGAUAAACACCAUGACCAAAUGCAACGUGGGGAGGAAAGGGUGUAUAUCAGCUUACAGGUUACAUGCUGUCAUAGAGGAAAGCCAAGGUAGGAAUCCAAGGCAGAAAACUGGAAACUGAAUCAGACUCCAUGGAGCAAUGCUCCUUACUGGCUGUCUCCCUCUAGCAUGCUCUUUAUAUAUUCCAGGACCACCAAUCCAGGAAAGACAUUGGCCACAGUGAUCUGGACCCUCCUACAUCAGUUAGCAAUCAAGAAAAUGCCUUCAGGGACAUUCCCACAGACUAGUCUGUUGGAGGCAACUAACUUCUCAUUUGAGGUUCCUUCAUCCUAGGUGUGUCUAGGUUUGUAUGAAGUUGGUGAAAAGUAACUAUGACAACUAGGUCUGGGGAUUUAGAGACUGCAGUUGUACCACAUGCUUACUCCAGCUCUUCUGCAGUGUGUCCAGGAGACAUUGCAUUUCGCUUCUGGUGAUUUGCUUUACUUUUGCCUCUUGCAUCCUUACAGAAAGGUCAGUCAGGCACCAGACUCUCAGACCCCAACUUCAGUUGCUAGGUCUCUGUUACUGCACAUUCUAUACUCACCACAGAUUGGCUGAUCCCUAGCCAAAUGCUCCUCCAAAGUCUGUUAUAGAAAACUUGAGUUCCAAACUGGGAUAGUACAAAUUCUGCUGGCUUUGGGUCAGAGAGCAUUGACUCAUCUUUAGACAAGUCAGUUGAUCUAACUUGGUCUGUGUCGUCAGUUACAAAAUGAAGAUAUUAAUAUAUGCCCUGCCUAACUUGUUUGACUGACAUGUGAGAUGAAAUCUGAAAAUGUGUUUUGUAAACUAUGAAAUGUCAUCCAAAUGGAAUAGAUACAGCACCAAUUAAAAAACAACC
rnacentral:lncRNA from 1 species